AGUCGAGCGGUAAAGAGAAGCUUGCUUCUCUUGAGAGCGGCGGACGGGUGAGUAAUGCCUAGGAAUCUGCCUAGUGGUGGGGGAUAACGUUCGGAAACGGACGCUAAUACCGCAUACGUCCUACGGGAGAAAGCGGGGGAUCUUCGGACCUCGCGCCAUUAGAUGAGCCUAGGUCGGAUUAGCUAGUUGGUGAGGUAAUGGCUCACCAAGGCGACGAUCCGUAACUGGUCUGAGAGGAUGAUCAGUCACACUGGAACUGAGACACGGUCCAGACUCCUACGGGAGGCAGCAGUGGGGAAUAUUGGACAAUGGGCGAAAGCCUGAUCCAGCCAUGCCGCGUGUGUGAAGAAGGUCUUCGGAUUGUAAAGCACUUUAAGUUGGGAGGAAGGGCAGUAACCUAAUACGUUAUUGUUUUGACGUUACCGACAGAAUAAGCACCGGCUAACUUCGUGCCAGCAGCCGCGGUAAUAC
rnacentral:rRNA from 1 species